GAUGAACGCUGGCGGCGUGCCUAAUACAUGCAAGUCGAGCGAACAGACGAGGAGCUUGCUCCUUUGACGUUAGCGGCGGACGGGUGAGUAACACGUGGUUAACCUACCUAUAAGACUGGGAUAACUUCGGGAAUCCGGAGCUAAUACCGGAUAAUAUUUCGAACCGCAUGGUUCGAUAGUGAAAGAUGGCUUUGCUAUCACUUAUAGAUGGACCUGCGCCGUAUUAGCUAGUUGGUAAGGUAACGGCUUACCAAGGCAACGAUACGUAGCCGACCUGAGAGGGUGAUCGGCCACACUGGAACUGAGACACGGUCCAGACUCCUACGGGAGGCAGCAGUAGGGAAUCUUCCGCAAUGGGCGAAAGCCUGACGGAGCAACGCCGCGUGAGUGAUGAAGGUCUUCGGAUCGUAAAACUCUGUUAUUAGGGAAGAACAAACGUGUAAGUAACUGUGCACGUCUUGACGGUACCUAAUCAGAAAGCCACGGCUAACUACGUG
rnacentral:rRNA from 1 species